rnacentral:rRNA from 1 species
CCUACGGGAGGCAGCAGUGGGGAAUAUUGCACAAUGGGGGAAACCCUGAUGCAGCGACGCCGCGUGAGUGAAGAAGUAAUUCGGUAUGUAAAGCUCUAUCAGCAGGGAAGAAAAUGACGGUACCUGAGUAAGAAGCCCUGGCUAACUACGUGCCAGCAGCCGCGGUAAUAUGUAGGGGGCAAGCGUUAUCCGGAUUUACUGGGUGUAAAGGGAGCGUAGACGGCAGUGCAAGUCUGGAGUGAAAGGCGGGGGCUCAACCCCCGGACUGCACUGGAAACUGUACGGCUGGAGUGCAGGAGAGGUAGGUGGAAUUCCUAGUGUAGCGGUGAAAUGCGUAGAUAUUAGGAGGAACACCAGUGGCGAAGGCGGCUUACUGGACUGUAACUGACGUUGAGGCUCGAAAGCGUGGGGAGCAAACAGGAUUAGAUACCCCUGUAGUC